rnacentral:rRNA from 1 species
CGUAACACGUAUGCAAUCUACCUUUAACUGGGGCAUAGCCCGAAGAAAUUCGGAUUAAUACCGCAUAAUACUUUGAGGAGGAAUCUCCUUAAUUUUAAAACUUCGGUGGUUAAAGAUGAGCAUGCGUCCCAUUAGCUAGUUGGUAAGGUAACGGCUUACCAAGGCUACGAUGGGUAGGGGGUCUGAGAGGAUUAUCCCCCACACUGGUACUGAGACACGGACCAGACUCC